AACGAACGCUGGCGGCGUGCCUAACACAUGCAAGUCGUGCGAGAAAGUUCCUUCGGGAGCGAGUAAAGCGGCGCACGGGUGAGUAACACGUAGGUAACCUGCCCCCCAGUCUGGAACAACUAGAGGAAACUCUAGCUAAUGCCGGAUGAGACCACGAUCCCUUCGGGGGUUGCGGCCAAAGAUGGCCUCUACUUGUAAGCUAUCGCUGAGGGAUGGGCCUGCGGGCCAUUAGCUUGUUGGUGAGGUAACGGCUCACCAAGGCUGUGAUGGCUAGCUGGUCUGAGAGGAUGACCAGCCACACUGGGACUGAGACACGGCCCAGACUCCUACGGGAGGCAGCAGUGGGGAAUAUUGUGCAAUGGGCGAAGCCUGACGCAGCGACGCCGCGUGGGUGA
rnacentral:rRNA from 1 species